rnacentral:rRNA from 1 species
GUGGGGAAUAUUGGACAAUGGGCGAAAGCCUGAUCCAGCAAUGCCGCGUGAGUGAUGAAGGCCUUAGGGUUGUAAAGCUCUUUUACCAGGGAUGAUAAUGACAGUACCUGGAGAAUAAGCUCCGGCUAACUCCGUGCCAGCAGCCGCGGUAAUACGGAGGGAGCUAGCGUUGUUCGGAAUUACUGGGCGUAAAGCGCGCGUAGGCGGCUACUCAAGUCAGAGGUGAAAGCCCGGGGCUCAACCCCGGAACUGCCUUUGAAACUAGGUAGCUAGAAUCUUGGAGAGGUCAGUGGAAUUCCGAGUGUAGAGGUGAAAUUCGUAGAUAUUCGGAAGAACACCAGUGGCGAAGGCGACUGACUGGACAAGUAUUGACGCUGAGGUGCGAAAGCGUGGGGAGCAAACAGGAUUAGAAACCCGUGUAGUCC